rnacentral:rRNA from 1 species
GACUUAGUCCUAACCUUACUGUUAGUUGUUGCUAGGAAUAUACAUGCAAGUAUCCGCACCCCAGUGUAGAUGCCCUCAGUACCUCACCCCAGGUCAGUAGGAGCGGGUAUCAGGCACACUCCAAUUUGUAGCCCAAAACGCCUUGCACUUGCCACGCCCCCACGGGUACUCAGCAGUAGUUGAUAUUAAGCAAUGAGUGAAAACUUGACUUAGCCAUAGCAAUUCAGGGUCGGUAAAUCUUGUGCCAGCCACCGCGGUUAUACAAGAGACCCAAAUUAACUUUAUAACGGCGUAAAGAGUGGUCACAUGCUAUCAGAAUAACUAAGAUUAAAAUGCAACUGAGCCGUCACAAGCCCAAGAUGCCCAUAAGGCCACCCCAUAAAGAAGAUCUUAGCCUGACGAUUGAUUGAAACCCACGAAAGCCAGGGCCCAAACUGGGAUUAGAUACCCCACUAUGCCUGGCCCUAAAUCUUGGUGCUUACCCAACCUAAGCAUCCGCCCGAGAACUACGAGCACAAACGCUUAAAACUCUAAGGACUUGGCGGUGUCCCAAACCCACCUAGAGGAGCCUGUUCUAUAAUCGAUGAUCCACGAUAUACCCUACCAUUUCUUGCCAGAACAGCCUAUAUACCGCCGUCGCCAGCCCACCCAUUUGAAGGUCCAACAGUGAGCGCAAUAGUCCCAUCCACUAAUAAGACAGGUCAAGGUAUAGCCUAUGGAAUGGAAGCAAUGGGCUACAUUUUCUAGUAUAGAACAUCACGGC